rnacentral:rRNA from 1 species
UACGGGGGGGGCAAGCGUUGUUCGGAAUUACUGGGCGUAAAGGGCUCGUAGGUGGCCAACUAAGUCAGACGUGAAAUCCCUCGGCUUAACCGGGGAACUGCGUCUGAUACUGGAUGGCUUGAGUUUGGGAGAGGGAUGCGGAAUUCCCGGUGUAGAGGUGAAAUUCGUAGAUAUCGGGAGGAACACCAGUGGCGAAGGCGGCGACCUGGACAGAUAUUGACGCUGAGGUGCGAAAGCGUGGGGAGCAAACAGG